ensembl:lncRNA
CUUAAAGACCUGAAAACAUGUAUCAUGUGUUGACACUAUAUCCUCAGUGAAUUGUAAACAUAGGUCUUUAAUACUUUUAUAAGAGUAACGUUAACGAUGUAAAGAAAAAAAUGUCAACGAAAAAAUAAGAUUUUUCAAGAUAAACACUAAACAUCAAGACUGGAGUGUUUAAAAUAUACAAAAACACUAAGCAAUACAUUAAGCAUAUAUUGAUGUUUAUUUUAUGUAUAAGUUAUUCUUUUUGUUUUCUUUUUUUAUAUAGAAUGGAGCCUACAUUUAGGACGAAACCAGAAGGAGGUCUGAACAUGUGCGACUCCUUGGUCGCUCUUAAGAAGGAGGAGGAAAAUAAGAAAAAACCUUGGUCUCGGGCUCUUUCCCCAGAUAAGGUGUUGGAGGCUGCUAGACAAGCUGUAUUGCGCCAGGGUGAAGACCCGAGCAAUAAGAAAUAUGUUCUGGGGCUACAUGAAAUGCAGUUUGGUGUGUUCAAAGGCCAGACAUUUAAGUGGGCUGCUGAAAAUGCCCUCGGUUAUGCUGGAUAUUUGGUGGCAAGUAUGAGGAGGGAAUCAGCUGAUUUUAAAGACUCCAAAAAUCACCAUGCUAAUAAAGCAGCCUUUGCAGAGUACAUAGGACUUUUCCCAGAGGGUCGUGAGGCCAUUCGUAUCAAAACUGAAAACAUGGGUUGCCCAUCCUUCCAGGAUAUGUCCCCGCAGAAGUCUCCCAGUGCCCCACAGUCCUUACCUUCAGUCUCCUCUGGCCCCCACAUUUGCAUUGUGGUCCCCAGGGGCCCGCCAAAUGACAUACUGAGGACCUGGGUUCUAAAGUGAAAAGAAUAUUUUUUGGGCUCUUACAAAAAAUCUCUGCUGCAGGCCUCUCUCUCUUAUACACAGCAAGACCCUUUUGAGAAUUUUAAGUUGGGGAAGCUCAAUUGUUUCUGCAAUGGCCUAGAGCCCCGUGGUUUGGGGCCGUGUGUCAGGGGCCCCUACUUAAUCAGAAUCCCAAAUCUUGAGGUCCUACGACUUGUCAUCUCUGAACAGGAGACGUCCCACUUGUUAACUAAUCGUGUAGUAGUUUGGCAGACACGUGGUCCCUUUUUAGACCUUUUGACCCCUAAAUGAGGUCGUAGGGUCACCAAACUUUUCCGCCCAUUCGAGGGGCCCGUGACGAUACGCAAAUGGGACCCUCGGGUCGAUUGGACCUUCCUAAGCCAUGUCCAUAAAGUUACAAUGGUAAAUCCAUUCAAAUAGGUUGAGAGUGGAUUUUUUUAGAAGGAUCCCAGUGGCCCCAAAUUUUGCACCAUGGCCCCCGGGGGUCCCUUCA